UACGGAGGGUGCAAGCGUUAUCCGGAAUUACUGGGCGUAAAGCGUGCGUAGUCGGUUAUUUAAGUCGGAUGUGAAAUCCCCGGGCUCAACCUGGGAAUUGCAUUCGAUACUGGAUAGCUAGAGUUCGGCAGAGGGAAGCGGAAUUUCUGGUGUAGCGGUGAAAUGCGUAGAUAUCAGAAGGAACAUCAGUGGCGAAAGCGGCUUCCUGGACCAGAACUGACGAUCAGGCACGAAAGCGUGGGGAGCAAACAGG
rnacentral:rRNA from 1 species